UACGGAGGGUGCGAGCGUUGUUCGGAUUCAUUGGGCGUAAAGGGUGCGUAGGCGGCGCGGUAAGUCGGGUGUGAAAUCUCGGGGCUUAACUCCGAAACUGCAUUCGAUACUGCCGUGCUUGAGGACUGGAGAGGAGACUGGAAUUUACGGUGUAGCGGUGAAAUGCGUAGAUAUCGUAAGGAAGACCAGUGGCGAAGGCGGGGUCUCUGGACAGUUCCUGACGCUGAGGCACGAAGGCCAGGGGAGCAAACGGGG
rnacentral:rRNA from 1 species